UGGGGAAUUUUGGACAAUGGGCGCAAGCCUGAUCCAGCCAUUCCGCGUGCAGGACGAAGGCCUUCGGGUUGUAAACUGCUUUUGUACGGAACGAAAAGGCUCUGGCUAAUACCUGGGGCUCAUGACGGUACCGUAAGAAUAAGCACCGGCUAACUACGUGCCAGCAGCCGCGGUAAUACGUAGGGUGCAAGCGUUAAUCGGAAUUACUGGGCGUAAAGCGUGCGCAGGCGGUUAUGUAAGACAGAGGUGAAAUCCCCGGGCUCAACCUGGGAACUGCCUUUGUGACUGCAUAGCUGGAUUACGGCAGAGNGGGAUGGAAUUCCGCGUGUAGCAGUGAAAUGCGUAGAUAUGCGGAGGAACACCGAUGGCGAAGGCAAUCCCCUGGGCCUGUACUGACGCUCAUGCACGAAAGCGUGGGGAGCAAACA
rnacentral:rRNA from 1 species